AUUGAACGCUGGCGGCAGGCCUAACACAUGCAAGUCGAACGAGUGGCGGACGGGUGAGUAAUGUCUGGGAAACUGCACGAUGGAGGGGGAUAACUACUGGAAACGGUAGCUAAUACCGCAUACCAUCGGAUGUGCCCAGAUGGGAUUAGCUAGUAGGUGGGGUAACGGCUCACCUAGGCGACGAUCCGUAGCUGGUCUGAGAGGAUGACCAACCACGCUGGAACUGAGACACGGUUCAGAAACCAGCGGGAGGCAGGAGUGGGGAAUAUUGCACAAUGGGCGGAAGCCUGAUGCAGCCAUGCCGCGGGUAAGAAGAAGGCCUUCGGGUUGUAAAGUACUUUCAGCGAGGAGGCGUUACUCGCAGAAGAAGCAGAGGCUAACUCCGUGCGAGCGGCCGCGGUAAUAC
rnacentral:rRNA from 1 species